AAAUUCUCCAAUUCUAGCCAGUUGGGGUGUUAUUCGGGUUGUUUUCUCGGGUUUCGGGUUUUCAAAACUAAAAAUGUUAUCCAAUAAUCAAACCAUUCUAGGUUUGGGUUAUUCGAUGUUCGGGUUUGAACCCAAAGCUAGCUGGUUCUCCCCAAAAUGCGUUGAGGCGCAGCAGUUGACUGGACAUCUAGGGGUAAAGCACUGUUUCGGUGCGGGCUGCGAGAGCGGUACUAAAUCGAGGCAAACUUUGAAUACUAUAUGACCUCAAAAUAAUAGGGAUCAAGGUCGGCCAGUGAGACGAUGGGGGAUAAGCUUCAUCGUCGAGAGGGAAACAGCCCGGAUCACCAGCUAUGGCCCCUAAAUGACCGCUCAGUGAUGAAGGAGGUAGGGGUGAAGAGUCAGCCAGGAGGUUUGCCUAGAAGCAGCCACCCUUGAAAAAGUGCGUAAUAGCUCACUAAUCGAGCGCUCUUGCGCCGAAAAUGAACGAGGCUAAGCGAUCUGCCGAAGUUGUGGGACGUAAAAAUACAUCCGUAGGGGAGCUUUCCACCUUAAGAGUGAAGCACCCGCGCGAGCACUAGUGAAUUAGCGAAAGCGAGAAUGUCGGCUUGAGUAACGCAAACAUUGCUGAGAAUCCAAUGCCCCGAAAACCUAAGGGUUCCUCCGCAAGGUUCGUCCACGGAGGGUGAGUCAGGGCCUAAGAUCAGGUCGAAAGGUGUUGUCGAUGGACAACAGAUGAAUAUUCCUGUACCACCCUGCGUUGGUCCCAAGGGAUGGAGGAGGCUAGGUUAGCCGAAAGAUGGUUAUCGGUUCAAGAACGUAAGGUGGCCUUGCUUUUUCAAGGUAAGAAGGGGUAGAGAAAAUGCCUCGAGCCAAUGUUCGAGUACUACGCGCGACGACGCUAAAGUAACCCAUGCCAUACUCCCAGGAAAAGCUCGAAGGACCUUCAACAAAAGGGUACCUGUACCCGAAACCGACACAGAUGGGUAGGUAGAGAAGACCUAGGGGCGUGAGACAACUCUCUCUAAGGAACUCAACAAAAUAGCCCUACAACUUCGGGAGAAGGGGCGCCUCCUCACAAAGGGGAUCGUAAUGACCAAAUCUGGAUGACCGUUUACUAAAAACACAGGUCUCCGCGAAGUCGUAAGACCAUGUAUGGGGGCUGACACCUGCCCGGUGCCGGAAGGUCAAGAAAGUUGGUGACCUGAUGACAGGGGAGCCGGCGACUGAAGCCCCGGUGAACGGCGGCCGAUGGUUCGGGUUUUAUCGGGUCGGGUUUUGGGUUAGUAUAGUUUAUCGAUGUGACAACCCUCAAAAUUACAGGUAUCCGUACAAUU
rfam:Helianthus annuus linkage group 5, whole genome shotgun sequence.